UGGGCUCAGGGAUCCGCCCACCUCGGCCUCCCAAAGUGCUAGGAUCACAGGCGUGAGCCACCGUGCCAGACACCACCGCCCGUUUUCGAAUCCAUUUGGCACCUCCUUCGCCUAAGAAUUUGCUUUUCCAGGCGUCCCCUUUCUGUUCCGUCUCUGUACUGCACUAACUUCACCUAUACACAGGUCUGUAUCCUCCUGUUAAAACCACUGACCAGGACUGCCGCUUCUGGGUGCGAUACAGUAACAGGCAUUGGAUUCCUCCUCUUCCCUCAAACAACUAGAAAGCUGGAGGAAAUAAACGACGUUACUGUUAGGCAUUGGAUAAUAGGCCAUGAAAGAUACGGAUCUAUUAAAAAAAGAAAACUAAUCAGAUAAAGAAAUGGGGGCUCAGAGCAGUCAAGAACAUGCCCCAAGUUAUUCGUCAGUGAGGCAGAAAUUGUGGUGUCCUUGUGUAAGUUCACAGUUUAUACUUUACCAUUAUACUGUGCUCCAAAUUAUCUGAUAUUUACUUUCAAAGCAUGUGUAGGAAGUUUACUAUGAUGAUGCAGAGACAUUGUACAGAAUCCAGUCCCUUGACUCUCAGGUCCCCAGAACACUCACUUCACGAUUUUGUUGACCUCUUAUGUCAACUUAAACCUGGCACUCUCUUGGCUUUCUCUGCUCUUUCUGGGCACUCCAAAGCUUCUGUACUUACAUGCUACAACUCCAGUCACAGGAAGAUGCUGAGUUCUUUAGUCCCAGAUCCAUAUUCCUGAGAAAACCUAAUUGCCUAGGCUCAGGUCAUAACUCUGUGUCUGUUUCAGUUGAUUAUGGCUGGGCCUACUGCCCCUCUGUAUGGUGGUGGGGCAGAAGUUCCCAGAGAGAGGCAGGGGUGACAGAGACUGUUGUCUCAAAUGCUAGGCAGACAUCUGGAGUGGUAACCACUACAUCUGUUCACAGUGAGCACAUCCUUGCAGGGAAACUGGGUUAAUCAUCUCUAUUAUUGAAACUCAGAGGUAUAGUGUUUCUUCAUAGGAAUUUUCUUUCCUUAUUUGAGAUGGGGGUCUCACUUUGUUGCCCAGGCUGGAGUGCAGUGGUGUGUGAUCUUGGCUCACUGCAGCCUCCCCUCCCGAGUUCAAGCGAUUCUCCUACCUCAGCCUGCUGAGUAGCUGGGACUACAGGCAUGGGCCAACAUGCCUGGCUAAUUUUUGUAUUUUUCGUAGAGACAAGUUUUCACCAUAUUGGCCAGGCUGGUCUUGGACUCCUGACCUCAGGUGAUCUGCCCACCCUGGCCUCCCUAAGUGCCGGGAUGACAGGUGUGAGCCAUCGCGCCCAGCCUAUUUAUAGGAAUUUUCUGUAGGUAUAUAAGUAAUAAUUUGAAGGUCACAACUAGAUGACUUUUUGUGUAACCGUAUCUUGAAUGGAACAAACAUUUUCUUUCUACGUAAUUAUACAUAAAUAACCCAAUGCUUUUUAAUACCCACGAAAAGCCAUUAGCUCAAAGACACUUGCAAACUUGUAUCAGGUUGUUUUCCUUGGUGUGUAUUAAGUUUGAAGCAAAGGGGAUUUUCACAUACCAAGACGAAGCAGAAGUCUUCCACCAAGUUGAAAUCAUCACGUUGCAAUUUAAUCAUAUGAUACAACCAAUUUUUUGAUGUGUUAUGCCAUUCGCCAAAUACCAUACAAAGUACGGUAUGCCUUCUCAGUGCCUUGUUAGUAAUUCAGUUACAGUUCUGCCGAACUUUCUUUAAAGGAAUACAAUUCUCAAUCUUACACUGUUCAGAGCACAAGCAUAGCUUAUUGUAUACAAGAGAUGUGCAUCAGUUCCCACUCCUCAGGGACUGUAUGAAUUUGGCUUUCUUUUAUUUUUUUGACAGAGUCUCACUCUGUCGCCAGGCUGGAGUGCAGUAGUGUGAUCUCAGCUCACUGGACUCUGCCACCUGGGUUCAAGUGAUUCUCCUGCCUCAGCUUCCCAAGUAGCUAGGACUACAGGUGCACACCACCAUGCCCAGCUGAUUUUUUGUGUGUUUUUAGUAGAGACGGGGUUUCACCAUGUUGGCCAGGAUGGUCUUGAUCUCUUGACCUCAUGAUCUACCCGCUUUGGCCUCCCAAGGUGCUGGGAUUACAGGCAUGAGCCACUGUGCUGGGCCAAAUUUGGUUCUUAGAAACCAAGGAGUGAUGUGUGCACCAGGCCCAGGGCUGAAGAGCUGCUUCUCACUAGAUGCCUCUCUUGGUCUGGCUGCUGUGUCCAGUCCUAUCCAGGGUUAGCUCUGUUCCUCCUCCUUGUGGCAUCUGUGUUUCUCUUUCUGCUCUGCCUCUCCCCAUCUCCUAGUCCAAACAUCCAAAGAAAUAAAUUACCUCCAGGAGAUCGAGACCAUCCAGGCUAACACGGUGAAACCCUGUCUCUAGUAAAAAUACAAAAAAUUAGCCGGGCAUGGUGGCCGGCGCCUGUAGUCCCAGCUACUUAGGAGGCUGAGGCAGGAGAAUGGCGUGAACCUGGGAGGCAGAGCUUGCAGUGAGCCGAGAUCGCGCCAUUGCACUCACGCCUGGGCGACAGAGCAAGACUCUGUCUCAAAAAAAAAAAAAAAAAUUAAUGACCUCUGCCCCUAACUGAACAAAGCCCUUCAUCUAAGGCCACCCUUUGGUUGGCAGCCUUAGCCAGACAUCUGCUUCUGGUCAAAUCAAUGUCUUGUCCACAGGGAGGCCCAGCGCUGUUUCUGGUUUUAGCUGGAUGCAGGGUGUCAGACAUGGCAGGUACUACGGUCUACCUGGCGGGUAUCAAAGAGUUGGUCGACGUUCUCACAACAACCUAAUAGGGACCAACCAUGGAAGGCCAGUAGUAAAGGAGUUUGAAGUUCCCUUUCAGAAACCAAUUAACAACCCCAAAGAGACAGUGGGUAACAUAAAAGAGCAGCCAUAAAAAUAUACAGUUUUAAUAGAAAUAUUAAAAUAAUCAUUACACUUCCUCUCAUUGCAGAAACCAUGAAAGAAUAUGCCUUUUGUAAUCAAAGUAAUUUUUUAUCAUGCAAAAAAGUAUUUUGUUAUGACAUUCGUAAGUGGAGACUGUAUUUCAAAACAAGUUUAUACAGACUUCAAAAGGUCUAAA